UACGUAGGGUGCAAGCGUUGUCCGGAAUUAUUGGGCGUAAAGAGCUCGUAGGCGGUUUGUCGCGUUUGCUGUGAAAACUCGGGGCUUAACUCCGGGCCUGCAGUGGGUACGGGCAGACUAGAGUGCGGUAGGGGAGACUGGAAUUCCUGGUGUAGCGGUGAAAUGCGCAGAUAUCAGGAGGAACACCGGUGGCGAAGGCGGGUCUCUGGGCCGAAAUUGACGCUGAGGAGCGAAAGCGUGGGGAGCAAACAGG
rnacentral:rRNA from 1 species